GACGAACGCUGGCGGCGUGCUUAACACAUGCAAGUCGAACGGAAAGGCCUCUUUCGGGGGGUACUCGAGUGGCGAACGGGUGAGUAACACGUGAGUAACCUGCCCUUGACUUUGGGAUAACUUCAGGAAACUGGGGCUAAUACCGGAUAGGAGCUCCUGCUGCAUGGUGGGGGUUGGAAAGUUUCGGCGGUUGGGGAUGGACUCGCGGCUUAUCAGCUUGUUGGUGGGGUAGUGGCUUACCAAGGCUUUGACGGGUAGCCGGCCUGAGAGGGUGACCGGCCCAAUGGGGCCUGGGAUACGGCCCAGACUCCUACGGGGGGCAGCGGUGGGGAAUUUUGCCCAAUGGGUGGAAGCCUGAUGCAGCAACGCCGGGUGGGGGAUGCCGGCCUUCGGGUUGUAAACCGCUUUCGCCCAUGACGAAGCUUUGGGUGACGGUAGGGGGUAAAGAAGCCCCGGCUAACUCCGU
rnacentral:rRNA from 1 species